rnacentral:tRNA from 1 species
UAUAAGGAGACCUAGUAAGUUCAUUCAAGCGAAAGCAAGAAAGAAAAUACAAAAUAUAGGUCAAACAGGCAAAAAAAGAAUCAAACUCUCAAACUAAACACGGUUCGGGAAUGGGCUAUUAGCUCAGUUGGUUAGAGCGCACCCCUGAUAAGGGUGAGGUCUCUGGUUCAAAUCCAGAAUGGCCCACCUAACCCUAACUAGGUGGGGGUUUAGCUCAGUUGGUAGAGCACCUGCUUUGCAAGCAGGCUGUCAGCGGUUCGAGUCCGCUAACCUCCACUCCCGAGAAAUUCAGCACCAGCCAAAAGCAAAAAAAGCAAAAAGCUGAAUGCUGGAGAAACCUCCAGUAUCGCACCUUGAAAACUGCAUAAAAACAACAACAACCAAGUAAAGUAGGUGAAUCCACUGGCAAAGCGAAAGCAAAAACCAGUGAAAGUAGCAGACAAAAGAAAUCAAGCCAAAAACAAUCAGUACAGUGGA